CAGUCGUACCGGCGGGUAAUCAGCCUUUUGGGCAUGAUUCUGUGGAGCGUGAGGAGUUAAACGCCUUCAUGCCUGCAUAUUCGUGUACUUUGGGUGUACUUGCCUGUGUGGUUAGUUAACAUCAAUUUUGGGCGCCGGAAAAGGNUGAGAGGAAUGUGGCAGCUUGCUGUGUUAUAGCCUCUUGUGUAC
rnacentral:rRNA from 1 species